AGUUCCGUAGUUCAAUGGUAGAACACCACCCUGAUAAGGUGGCAAUAUAGGUUCAAUUCCUGUCGGAACUACCA
rnacentral:tRNA from 1 species